AGAAGUUUACCAGCAAACCCGACACCCCGACUGAAGUUACAGAGUAAAGUUGCAGUGACUGACGAAGAAAACGUAACUCAAGCUGCUGGCCACACACGUGGGAACACAACUCUUCGGGAGCCUGUGUAAGAAAAAGGAAAAAAAGUGGGAAUUCCAGAUUCUGACACAAGCUACUGAAGGUCGGGGACUGCAAGCGAUGGAUGGACAACCACGAUGCCGGGAU